rnacentral:rRNA from 1 species
GAUGAACGCUGGCGGCGUGCUUAACACAUGCAAGUCGAACGGUGAAGGCGGAGCUUGCUCUGCUGGAUCAGUGGCGAACGGGUGAGUAACACGUGAGCAAUCUGCCCCUGACUCUGGGAUAAGCGCUGGAAACGGCGUCUAAUACUGGAUACGAGCUGCGAAGGCAUCUUCAGCAGCUGGAAAGAAUUUCGGUCAGGGAUGAGCUCGCGGCCUAUCAGCUUGUUGGUGAGGUAGUGGCUCACCAAGGCGUCGACGGGUAGCCGGCCUGAGAGGGUGACCGGCCACACUGGGACUGAGACACGGCCCAGACUCCUACGGGCGGCAGCAGUGGGGAACAUUGCACAAUGGGCGCAAGCCUGAUGCAGCAACGCCGCGUGCGGGACGACGGCCUUCGGGUUGUAAACCUCUUUUAGCGGGGAAGAAGCGAAAGUGACGGUACCUGCAGAAAAAGCGCCGGCUAACUACGUG